UACGGGGGGGGCAAGCGUUGUUCGGAAUUACUGGGCGUAAAGGGCUCGUAGGCGGCCAACUAAGUCAGACGUGAAAUCCCCAGGCUCAACCUGGGAACUGCGUCUGAUACUGGAUGGCUUGAAUCCGGGAGAGGGAUGCAGAAUUCCAGGUGUAGCGGUGAAAUGCGUAGAGAUCGGCAGGAACACCCAGGGGGAAACCAGUCGACUGGGCAUCUACUGACGCUGAGGUGCGAGAGCGUGGGGAGCGAACCGG
rnacentral:rRNA from 1 species